UACGGGUCUGUAUGGAUACAGAAAGUCCCUCAAAGACCAGCUAGAAAUGCCUCUUUUGUAUACUGCUGUUUUCACGGGAAGCAGAGACGCCUGGCCUCACUUUCAUCUUGCCGCUGGUGCCCGCAGAUUCUAAGCUGAGUAAGUUGCAUCCCUGAGAAGAGCUGGGUGCGGCAGGUCUAGAAUCCCAGAAGUCAGAAGGCUGAAGCAGGAAGAUUGCUCCAAAUUCAUAGCCAGCCAGAAGGAAAACACUUUUGAAAAAAGUUCACCAGGGCCCUUGGCUUGUUCCCAGAAUACUGUCACACCGAAGAGUCUGAGAAAUCAACCCUUGAAACCACUAUGCCCCUGGGGAAGUCUAUCCGAUGGCCAGUCUCACUCUCAGGGCAGCUUCUCCCCAAGAAGAUACUGAGGUCGGUUUUUCUAUGGCCUCCUCCAUCCUUCUUGCUCCCACGUCUGGUCUGGUCUAGAUUGGGGGCAAAACCUUAGGUGUGAAGCAGAAAUUUAUGUUAAUAUGUAGAAGAAAAGUUAAGGCGAAUAACCUCUCAAGCAGCCAAUGGAAAAGUGGUCCAGCCCGUAUCUAAGCAAGUUUCUCAAGUACUUCCAGGUAUAUGCAUGGUAUGCCUAUGUAGGGGUGGGUGCCUGUGAACACCUGCACACAAGCAUCUGACUGACAUCCGGGCUCUCUUCCUUGAUCAUUUUCUGUCAGGUCUCAGAAACCCAGGGCAAAUGGCUAAAUUGAGGUGCCUAUCAACACCUCAAAGUGCAUGCUGGCCAGCUCUCCUGGCAUCCCUCAGUAUCUGUGGCUCCCCCAAGACUUCCCACUCCACCUGCUACUGUAAACCUCCCUCUUCCAGGGGCUGUGUUUCCAUUUCCCUACCUGGAGCCCAAUCCCUAUAUAACUCAGCUAUUUUGGCUACAUUUGUCUCUGGCUUCUUGGCCUGGGUCUCCCUCCCUCACUCUCCUCUCUCUCAUGGUCUGGUUUGAUCUACCAGCCAUGUUCAGCCUGGACUCUUCUGCCUGCUUUUUCUCUUACGUCUACAAUAAGAAUCUUCUCCACACUCUAGGAGUAGACAUGUACCCCUUGUGCAUCUUAUUUCCUGCAUUGUCUGCCUUACAUAUUGAGUCAGGGUCUCUCAACUGAACCCCAGAGCUCACCAAGAUGAUGCAGCUAGCCAGAUUAUUCAAGGGAUCACAUCUCCACCUUCUGAGAGCUGGAAUUACUAAAGGCUACCUUGUCGGCCUGGCUUUUAAGUGGGUGCCGGGGCUCUAAACUCUGAGGCCCUCACUAUUGCAAUGAAGGCUCUAUAUCUCUUGAAUCAUUUCCUUCCCAAGCCCCUGUGUAAUUUCUUUUUAAAAGAUAGGGUUACACUAUGUAGCUCUGACUGUCCUAGAACUCACAGAGAUCCAUCUGCCUCUGCCUCCCAAGUGUUGGAAUUAAUGGCUGCUCCAUCACACCCAGCCCUUGUAUAACCUUUAAGAGUCCCGAUUAGAAUAUGAUCAGUCCUUCAUCUUUAGGAAAAAAACCAUCCUCCUAACACACCCUACAAACGAGGACAAGAGGAACUUUCUAGUUACUUUUAAUAAAUGGGAAGAAUUGAGAGUUGUCUGUGACCCUAGGGUGCCUCUCUACUCUGUCCAGGAUCUGGUACUUGGAUUUCCACCAAGAUUCUCCCCUCCCACACCAUCAGUGCCCAUUUAAAAAAAAACAACAACAAAAAAAACAAAACCAAAACCAAAUCAUUUAGCUUAUUUCCCAGCACAGGAAUAGGCAGACUUACAACCCACUGGCCAAAUCCCACCCACUGCCUAUUUUUAUAUGGCCCUAAAGCUAAGAAUGGAUUUUAGUUUCUUAAAUAGUUGAAGAAGUCAAAAUAAAAAUAACGUUUUAUGACGCAUGAAAGUGAUAUGAAAUUCAAAUUUCAGGGUUCAUAAAUAAAGUUUUACUGGAACAUA